rnacentral:rRNA from 1 species
AGAGUUUGAUCCUGGCUUAGGAUGAACGCUAGCUACAGGCUUAACACAUGCAAGUCGAGGGGCAGCAUUGGAGUAGCAAUACUUCAGAUGGCGACCGGCGCACGGGUGAGUAACACGUAUCCAACCUGCCGCUUACUCGGGGAUAGCCUUUCGAAAGAAAGAUUAAUACCCGAUGGUAUAAAGAGUUCGCAUGUUCUCUUUAUUAAAGAAUUUCGGUAAGCGAUGGGGAUGCGUUCCAUUAGAUAGUUGGCGGGUAACGGCCCACCAAGUCUACGAUGGAUAGGGGUUCUGAGAGGAAGGUCCCCCACAUUGGAACUGAGACACGGUCCAAACUCCUACGGGAGGCAGCAGUGAGGAAUAUUGGUCAAUGGACGAGAGUCUGAACCAGCCAAGUUAGCGUGAAGGAUGACUGCCCUAUGGGUUGUAAACUUCUUUUAUAAGGGAAUAAAGUGAGGGACGUGUCCCUUUUUGUAUGUACCUUAUGAAUAAGGAUCGGCUAACUCCGUGCCAGCCGCAGC